GUGAGGAAUAUUGGGCAAUGGGGGAAACCCUGACCCAGCGACGCCGCGUGAGGGAAGAAGGCCUUAGGGUCGUAAACCUCUGUUGUGUGGGAAGAAGAGCGUGACGGUACCACACGAGGAAGUCCCGGCUAACUACGUGCCAGCAGCCGCGGUAAUACGUAGGGGACGAGCGUUGUCCGGAUUUACUGGGCGUAAAGGGCGCGUAGGCGGUCAUUUAAGUCAGCUGUGAAAUGGUUUGGCUUAACCGGAUCAUGCGGUUGACACUGGAUGACUGGAGUGCUGGAGAGGCAAGUGGAAUUCCCAGUGUAGCGGUGAAAUGCGUAGAUAUUGGGAAGAACACCGGUGGCGAAGGCGACUUGCUGGCCAGCAACUGACGCUGAGGCGCGAAAGCCAGGGGAGCAAACGGGAUUAGAUACCCGAGUAGUCC
rnacentral:rRNA from 1 species